rnacentral:rRNA from 1 species
CCCCGGGCUUUACCCGGGGAAGGGCCAUUGGAAAACUGUCCACCUUGAAUCCAGAAGAGGAAAGGGGAAUUCCCAGCGUAGCGGUGAAAUGCGUAGAAAUUUGGAGGAACACCAACGGGGAAGGGCGGCUUACUGGUUCUGUAAUUGACGUGAAGGCUGGAAAGCGUGGUUAGCAAACAGGAAUAGAUACCCUGGUAGUCCUCCCCGUAAACGAUGAGUGCUAAGUGUUAGGGGGUUUCCGCCCCUUAGUGCUGGAGUUAACGCAUUAAGCACUCCGCCUGGGGAGUACGGCCGCAAGGCUGAAACUCAAAGGAAUUGACGGGGACCCGCACAAGCGGUGGAGCAUGUGGUUUAAUUUGAAGCAACGCGAAGAACCUUACCAGCUCUUGACAUCAUCUGACCACCCUAGAGAUAGGGCUUUCCCUUCGGGGACAGAUAGACAGGUGGUGCAUGGUUGUCGUCAGCUCGUGUCGUGAGAUGUUGGGUUAAGUCCCAUAACGAGCGCAACCCUUAUUGUUAGUUGCCAGCAUUCAGUUGGGCACUCUAGCGAGACUGCCGGUGAUAAACCGGAGGAAGGUGGGGAUGACGUCAAAUCAUCAUGCCCCUUAUGAGCUGGGCUACACACGUGCUACAAUGGACGGUACAACGAGUUGCGACCCCGCAAGGGUGAGCGAAUCUUAAUAAGCCGUUCUCAGUUCGGAUUGUUCUCUGCAACUCGAGAGCAUGAAGCCGGAAUCGCUAGUAAUCGCGGAUCAGAAUGCCGCGGUGAAUACGUUCCCGGGUCUUGCACACACCGCCCGUCA